CUCAUGGGACACCUCAUCAGCAAUAACAUGACCGGAGACCGUCGUAAAGAGACCGGAGAGGGCAGCAGAUCUCACUUACUAGUGAGGAAUGAUGGUAAUGGUUCCCAGCACAGAAGAGUCUAUAGGAGUAAUAGUUCCACUACGUUCUUUUUCUCUAAUUUUCCAGAUGAUUACGGAGAAAAGGACAUGCUCAAAACCUUUCAAAGGUGGGCAAGGGUGAC
rnacentral:lncRNA from 1 species